AUAGAGGAGACCCCCUGUAUAGAGGAGACCCCCUGUAUAGAGGAGACCCCCUGUAUAGAGGAGACUCCCUGUAUAGAGGAGACUCCCUGUAUAGAGGAGACCCCCUGUAUAGAGGAGACCCCCUGUAUAGAGGAGACCCCCUGUAUAGAGGAGACGCCCUGUAUAGAGGAGACGCCCUGGAUAGAGGAGACGCCCUGUAUAGAGGAGACCCCUGUAUAGAGGAGACCCCUGUAUAGAGGAGACCCCCUGUAUAGAGGAAACACCCUGUAUAGAGGAGACUCCCUGUAUAAAGAAGACCUGCAGCAGAGACUCUGCCAGGAACACCACAGAGCUCUGGAGGUGUUCUGCAGGACAGACCAGGAGCUGAUCUGCAGUCUGUGUGUAGUAACAGAACACAAAGGACAUGAUACAGUCUAUGAUGAGAUAAAACAAGCAGGAAGACAGGUACCAGAUGAAGAACCCAACCAGAGACCGUCUUUAAUUGAAGGAUAUUCGGAUGAAAAUCUGUUGCCAAUUGGAUGGAAACGUAGCUAGUUAGAAAGUGAGCAUAGAAAAUAGAUGUGACAAUUGACUGCUACGGUGUGUCGAUAAAAACAGUUGGAUGUAAUGAUGUCACACAAAAUAAAACAUUACAAAAAAAACUAGAGUCAAAUGUAUUUCCAUGAUCCAUUUAGGGUAAUUUCACAAUUAUAAAUUGGUGACAGCCUGUAUGCCAUACCACCUAUCUGUUUCACAUCUCAGGGAGCCUGCAAAAGCCUGCAUGGACAGAAUGCAUGAAUUGACUAAUAUUUGCCAUAUUCUAAUAAUUCUCAAGUGACAACGUAUGGCCAUGGUGAAACUUGCACUCCUGUAGCCUAGAUCUGAAACUUGCACUCCUGUAGCCUUGAUCUGAAACUUGCACUCCUGUAGCCUAGAUCUGAAACUUGCACUCCUGUAGCCUAGAUCUGAAA